rnacentral:rRNA from 1 species
UACAGAGGGUGCGAGCGUUAAUCGGAAUUACUGGGCGUAAAGCGCGCGUAGGCGGCUUUGUAAGUCGGUUGUGAAAGCCCCGGGCUCAACCCGGGAAGUGCACUCGAAACUGGCAGGCUAGAGUACUGGAGAGGUUGGUGGAAUUCUCGGUGUAGAGGUGAAAUUCGUAGAUAUCGAGAGGAACACCGGUGGCGAAGGCGGCCAACUGGACAGAUACUGACGCUGAUCUGCGAAAGCUAGGGGAGCAAACAGG